AGCGAACGCUGGCGGCAGGCCUAACACAUGCAAGUCGAACGAACUCUUCGGAGUUAGUGGCGGACGGGUGAGUAACACGUGGGAACGUGCCUUUUGGUUCGGAAUAACUCAGGGAAACUUGUGCUAAUACCGAAUGUGCCCUUCGGGGAAAGGAUUUAUCGCCAUUAGAGCGGCCCGCGUCUGAUUAGCUAGUUGGUGGU
rnacentral:rRNA from 1 species